rnacentral:rRNA from 3 species
UGCAGUCGAGCGAACGGAUAAGGAGCUUGCUCCUUUGAAGUUAGCGGCGGACGGGUGAGUAACACGUGGGUAACCUACCUAUAAGACUGGGAUAACUUCGGGAAACCGGAGCUAAUACCGGAUAACAUUUAGAACCGCAUGGUUCUAAAGUGAAAGAUGGUUUUGCUAUCACUUAUAGAUGGACCCGCGCCGUAUUAGCUAGUUGGUAAGGUAACGGCUUACCAAGGCGACGAUACGUAGCCGACCUGAGAGGGUGAUCGGCCACACUGGAACUGAGACACGGUCCAGACUCCUACGGGAGGCAGCAGUAGGGAAUCUUCCGCAAUGGGCGAAAGCCUGACGGAGCAACGCCGCGUGAGUGAUGAAGGGUUUCGGCUCGUAAAACUCUGUUAUUAGGGAAGAACAAAUGUGUAAGUAACUGUGCACAUCUUGACGGUACCUAAUCAGAAAGCCACGGCUAACUACGUGCCAGCAGCCGCGGUAAUACGUAGGUGGCAAGCGUUAUCCGGAAUUAUUGGGCGUAAAGCGCGCGUAGGCGGUUUCUUAAGUCUGAUGUGAAAGCCCACGGCUCAACCGUGGAGGGUCAUUGGAAACUGGGAAACUUGAGUGCAGAAGAGGAAAGUGGAAUUCCAUGUGUAGCGGUGAAAUGCGCAGAGAUAUGGAGGAACACCAGUGGCGAAGGCGACUUUCUGGUCUGUAACUGACGCUGAUGUGCGAAAGCGU